rnacentral:rRNA from 1 species
CGAGAUUCCCCCAGUAGCGGCGAGCGAACGGGGAGCAGCCCAGAGCCUGAAUCAGUGUGUGUGUUAGUGGAAGCGUCUGGAAAGGCGCGCGAUACAGGGUGACAGCCCCGUACACAAAAAUGCACAUACUGUGAGCUCGAUGAGUAGGGCGGGACACGUGGUAUCCUGUCUGAAUAUGGGGGGACCAUCCUCCAAGGCUAAAUACUCCUGACUGACCGAUAGUGAACCAGUACCGUGAGGGAAAGGCGA